AUACGUAGGGGGCAAGCGUUGUCCGGAUUUAUUGGGCGUAAAGAGCGUGUAGGCGGCCUGACAGGUCUGCUGUGAAAACUCGAGGCUCAACCUCGAGAUGUCGGCGGAAACCGUCUGGCUAGAGUCCGGAAGAGGAGAGUGGGAUUCCUGGUGUAGCGGUGAAAUGCGCAGAUAUCAGGAAGAACACCUAUGGCGAAGGCAGCUCUCUGGGACGGUACUGACGCUGGGACACGAAAGCGUGGGGAGCGAACAGGAUUAGAUGCCCUGGUAGUCCACGCCGUAAACGAUGGGUGCUAGGUGUGGGCGGUGUCGACUCCGUCCGUGCCGAAGCUAACGCAUUAAGCACCCCGCCUGGGGAGUACGGCCGCAAGGCUAAAACUCAAAUGAAUUGACGGGG
rnacentral:rRNA from 1 species